rnacentral:rRNA from 1 species
UACGUAGGGGGCGAGCGUUGUCCGGAAUCAUUGGGCGUAAAGCGCGUGUAGGCGGCUCGGUAAGUCUGCUGUGAAAGUCCAGGGCUCAACCCUGGAAUGCCGGUGGAUACUGUCGAGCUUGAGUCCGGAAGAGGCGAGUGGAAUUCCUGGUGUAGCGGUGAAAUGCGCAGAUAUCAGGAGGAACACCAAUGGCGAAGGCAGCUCGCUGGGACGGUACUGACGCUGAGACGCGAAAGCGUGGGGAGCGAACAGG